CCGGGGGCUGGCAGUCUGUGCAGAACAUUAGGUACUCACACUCUGGGGCCUGAGGUUGCUUGGCCUGGCUGCGCCUCCGGAACUGUGCAUGGAGGCACGGAGCAGGCUGUGCCAGCCUCAGGCUCUGCACUGUGGAGAGUGGCUUCAGCCGUCCGUGGCUCUCCUACAGGGAUUGCCGUGGGCCACAUUUACUACUUCCUAGAGGAUGUCUUCCCCAACCAGCCUGGAGGCAAGAGGCUGCUGCUGACCCCCAGCUUCCUGAAGCUGCUACUGGAUGCCCCACAGGAAGACCCCGAUUACCUGCCCCUCCCGGAGGAGCAGCCAGGACCCCUGCAGCAAUGACCCUACCCAGGGCCAGGGCCAGGGCCAGCCCCAGGCCUCUGGCAGGCCUCCAUUCCACCCCUAACUCCCGCUUACAGGAGAGCAACCUGUCCUGGACAUGGGGCUGGUGCCCAGGGCCCACCCAAAUAAACAAGAAUGACCUGCAUCUCUUUGCCCACA